AGAGUUUGAUCAUGGCUCAGAACGAACGUUGGCGGCGUGGAUUAGGCAUGCAAGUCGAACGAAUGCCAAGGGGGUAACUCUGAGGCGGAAGUGGCGAAAGGGGCAGUAAUGCAUGGGUAACUUACCCUGGAGUCAGGCAUAGCCGUCCUAACGGACGGGUAAUUCUUGAUGGCCCAGCGAGGUGGCAUCAUUUUGCUGGUAAAGAAUUUCGCUCCGGGAGAGACCCAUGUCGUAUUAGCUAGUUGGCGGGGUAACGGCCCACCAAGGCUAAGAUGCGUAGCAGGUGUGAGAGCACGACUUGCGCCACUGGCACUGAGACACUGGCCAGACACCUACGGGUGGCUGCAGUCGAGGAUCUUCGUCAAUGGGCGAAAGCCUGAACGAGCGACGCCGCGUGCGCGAUGAAGGCCUUCGGGUUGUAGAGCGCGAAAGUGGGGACGAAGCCGAAAGGUUGACCGAUCCACAGUAAGCUCGGCUAAGUUCGUGCCAGCAGCCGCGGUAAGACGAACCGAGCGAACGUUGUUCGGAAUCACUGGGCUUAAAGGGCGCGUAGGCGGGCAGCAUAGUCUGUGGUGAAAUCCGGCAGCUUAACUGUCGAAUUGCCAUGGAUACUGGGUGUCUCGAGGGAGGCAGGGGUGCGCGGAACUAAUGGUGGAGCGGUGAAAUGCGUUGAUAUCAUUAGGAACUCCGGUGGCGAAGGCGGCGCACUGGUCCUUUUCUGACGCUGAGGCGCGAAAGCCAGGGGAGCAAACGGGAUUAGAUACCCCGGUAGUCCUGGCCCUAAACGUUGGGUACUAGAUAGUAGGGUUCACAUGGCUUUACUGUCGAAGCAAAAGUGCUAAGUACCCCGCCUGGGGAGUAUGGUCGCAAGGCUGAAACUCAAAGGAAUUGACGGGGGCUCACACAAGCGGUGGAGCAUGUGGCUUAAUUCGAGGCUACGCGAAGAACCUUAUCCUGACUUGACAUGUGCGAAAGCGCUAGGUAGUAGAAGCCGGAACGGUAACGAAUCCCGAAAGGGAGAGCCUAGUACAGGUGCUGCAUGGC
rnacentral:rRNA from 1 species